rnacentral:lncRNA from 1 species
CCCUAGUUAAAGCACGUUUAUUAUGUGUUUAGGGAUUUAACAAAUGAAGUUCAUUUGAAUUGGCCAUUCUCAGUACAAAUAGGGGCUAUGGCCGCUAUGCUAUAUAAUACUCAAGUUUAAGACCACGUUAGUGCGUUUCGAAGCAUGAACAGCAUUCGUGAACAUCCCUUUGUAGCCGUCUCAUCUAUAAAGCGUAGACUUUUCUCUGUGAGAAACAAAGGUGAUGCGUUUUCUGACCUGAUUAGUUUCACACUGUGCAGACUGCAAAAUUCUUUCUUAUGUGAAUGCAAUGGUCGGGUGUUGAAAUCCACAACGGACUAAACUUUAUGUGGAGUUCAUGAAUGAGGAUUGUUGAAAAGCCUUACGUACUGUCAGCAAGAUGGUGAGUUUCCUCGCCAUGUUAAGGUAUUGCUGUAUCUGGUGAUAUUCUCAUAAUCCAGAAAUGGUGAGUAAAGAAUGAAAUGAUGGCAGUGUUUGCCUUGAUGCCCAGAAUCCUACAGGAUAAGAAGCAUUUGGGGUAUAAGGUUUUCUCUGCCUUGUUUACAUACUGUACUUCUGAAAUUUAGAUGGCGUCUGCUCUAACCUGCGUCUUUCGAUAAUGUGCAGAGUGUGCAAAACGAGCGGAAGUUGGUUAAGGGCAUGGUUGGACUCAAAAAAUAAAAUUACAAUGCUAGUGCCACAUAGAUUGGGAGGAAGGGGUGGGCCGUGUGUUUGGUCGGUAGGAUGGAAACCCUAUUUCGGAACAGAUAUCCUGCUGUACCUGACAUCUACCACUCUCCUGGAGACGUCCAGUGUUUUAUCCGGGGAAAACAUCUUAAGAAAUUUCGUUAUCCAAAUUUGUAGGAAUUUCUAUUACAUGCAAGUUAACAGGAGUGUUCCGUGGGAAUAAAAUUAUGGAAAGGAAUUUAGCAAAUAGAUUUUUAUUUUUUUUUAUUACUUAGCAAAUAGAAUUUCUAUCCUCAUAAUUUUGAUGGGUAAAAACAACAUAUUCCGUUCUUACUGCUCCUGUUCCAUUUAAACUAUCUAAGUUUUCAUUACCCAAUCCGCUAGUUAAUGCAAAUAUAAAUGUACUUAAAUUUCUUUAAACUUAUAAAGAACAUAGAUCACAUUUCCUUUUUUUUUCUUUUGUUGGUAGUGUUACUAGAUCUGAACAGAAUUAAUGAGUCGUACGGCCAUUAGGAGAUUCAUAUGAUUUUCUUUAAAUUUCAUAGUUAAUAUGUGUGGCCUAGAUAUUUUAAGUGUGAAAAUAAAACUUAGUAUUAUGGCAGCUGAUUAAACAUCGGCCCGACUCAAUCAGUUUUUUUUUGCCAAUCACGCAGUGCUGAUAGGAGCUAGUGGUGAGCUUGAGCUGAAGUAGAAAAACAGUGAGCAUUGAGCUGGAGCGAAGACCUCAAAUGAUCUCUGCGUACGUACAGAACGUAUGCGUUUUUCUUGUAAACAUCUGUAAAGCUGCCGCCUUCAUUUAUUUUUGUGUGUGUGAUUAUUUACGUUUAUUGUUUAUAUUACGUUUUUAUUUACUUAUGCAAUACAUUACUUUUUACCUUUA